CACUCCACGUCACGACUGCAACGUCCUGAAGAACAGCACUUACCUGGAGAAAAAUGGCUGCAAGACCACAGAGCCUGUGGAAGUCAACUCCUGCGAAGGCACCUGCGGAACCUCCUCCGUGUACUCUGUGGAGGCUAAUUCUCUGGUUCACACAUGCUCCUGUUGUCAAGAGAUGUCCACAAGCAGCAAGGAGGUGGAGAUGAUCUGCCCAGAUGGGACAAAGAUCAGCUACACCUACACUUACGUUGAAACAUGUGGCUGCAAGCCCUUGGAGUGCCCUGAGGAACAAUCUUCCCAGAAAGUAUCACGGCGAAGGCGUCGAUGAACCAACGGGCAGAUUCAUGGCCGCCACUCCUGUGACGAUCGUUCCUCUGGUUGACCGUAUAAAGACUAAACAAUACAAUUCUCUCAGUGGAAAAAUGUUAAGUUUAGGCUUAUUAGGGUCAGCUGUCAACCAUAGUGUGUUUUUUCUUUCUUUUUGUUUGCAUGUUGGUUUUUAAGAGCAAGACUUUAUUUUAAUGUCAUGUAGCCAUUAUUUAAUAUACAUAUUAAUUAGCUUUAUAGAAGGCACAGACUUGCAUGGAAUGGGUUUAACAUUAAAUAUCAGGAAGAAAUAAACAGGGGAAAAGUUGUUAUUGUAGUGGCUAUCUUAGCUUUAACUAUUUUUAGAAUAUAGCUGCUUAUAGAAGAGUGUUUCUGUUCUUACCUGUAUUAACCACUUAAUAAACUGUAGCAACUGAAA